rnacentral:rRNA from 1 species
GACGAAGGGGGCUAGCGUUGAUCGGAAUUACUGGGCGUAAAGGGCGCGUAGGCGGCCUUCUAAGUCGAACGUGAAAUCCCCGGGCUCAACCCGGGAACUGCGUCCGAUACUGGAAGGCUUGAAUCCGGGAGAGGGAUGCGGAAUUCCAGGUGUAGCGGUGAAAUGCGUAGAUAUCUGGAGGAACACCGGUGGCGAAGGCGGCAUCCUGGACCGGUAUUGACGCUGAGGCGCGAAAGCCAGGGGAGCAAACGGG